rnacentral:rRNA from 1 species
UACGUAGGGUGCAAGCGUUAAUCGGAAUUACUGGGCGUAAAGCGUGCGCAGGCGGUUUUGUAAGUCUGUCGUGAAAUCCCCGGGCUCAACCUGGGAAUUGCAUUUGUGACUGCACGGCUAGAGUGUGUCAGAGGGGGGGUAGAAUUCCACGUGUAGCAGUGAAAUGCGUAGAUAUGUGGAGGAAUACCGAUGGCGAAGGCAGCCCCCUGGGAUAACACUGACGCUCAUGCACGAAAGCGUGGGGGACGCAAACAGG